rnacentral:rRNA from 1 species
AUUGAACGCUGGCGGCAUGCCUUACACAUGCAAGUCGAACGGCAGCACGGGUGCUUGCACCUGCUGGCGAGUGGCGCACGGGUGAGUAAUACAUCGGGACAUGUCCUGUAGCGGGGGAUAGCCCGGCGAAAGCCGGAUUACUACCACCUACGAACUACGGAUAAAAGAGGGUGACCUACGGGCCGCGCGCUUUACGGUUACCCGGCGGCUGAUUAGCUAGUUGGUGGGGUAAAGGCCUACCAAGGCGACGAUAAGUAGCCGGUCUGAGAGGAUGAUCAGCCACACUGGGACUGAGACACGGUCCAGACUCCUACGGGAGGCAGCAGUGGGGAAUCUUCGACAAUGGGCGAAAGCCUGAUGCAGCAACGCCGCGUGUGUGAAGAAGGCCUUCGGGUCGUAAAGCACUGUUGUCCGGAAAGAAAACCUUGGCCCUAAUCUGGGCGCGGGUUGACGGUACCGGAAGAAUAAGCACCGGCUAACUACGUG